GUCCUUGUAGCUUAUAAAUAAAGCAUGGCACUGAAGAUGCCAAGACGGCCCCGUACACCCAAGGACA
rnacentral:tRNA from 1 species